UCCCGGCUUUCCAUCAGCCGGGGAUUCUGAAGAGGCACACCAUCAUUGCCGGAAGUGCGGUAGGGGCCACCCUCCAAUCCAUGGCAGACAAAGCCGGAUCAAUGUUCUUGGCGGAGCGUUGAUUCACAAUUCGCGCGUCGAGCGUAUGCACGGUAU
rnacentral:ncRNA from 1 species